GGCAGAGAGUCCCCAUCAGCCCUGGGAGCAGGGAGGGUCCCCGUGCUCUCCAGCCAGGAGAGCCCAGCAGUGCGGCAAAUGUCCUUGCACUGGUUUAACUGGAGGAGACACUUUGCCCUUCUGCAGGUGUGGAGCUGGACAAAGAUUUAUGAGUGCCUGAAGAAGAGAGAAGUGAGCAGCCUUAAUUGAAGACCUCAAAGGAUGAGGAAAUGGCCCUCCCAAACACUGCAGCCGGCACAGACAGUGAUAUUUUAUGCUGCUGGGAGAUGUUAUUGAUAUCAGAUUGUUUAUUGUAAUCCUGUAAUGUGCUCGGUUACUGCUGUUU